CUUCCCUGAAAACCAGCCUCCCAUGUUCUGCUUGUGUAAUUUUCUUCUUCCUUGCCUACAGGGAGUCAACCUUCUGGUUUCUAAUCAGUGAAGACCUACCCCUGAUCAGAAGGUCGAAGUACUUUCUCUAUGGCAGGCUGCAGGAACUCAAGCCAAGUGAAAGAGCACAGCUUUCCCUUUGCCUGCCUGCCAGAUUUCUGAAAUGCAGAAAGCAUGCUCAAGGAGCUUCCAAGCAAAAAAGUACAGCUUUGCUUCCAAGCACCCUCCCCAGGAAACGCAGGUGAG
rnacentral:lncRNA from 1 species